AGGAGAGCUGAGGAGACUGGACUCGAGAGAGGGGAGCUCCUCCUAGGCUUUGCUGCAUCCCAUUUGUAGGAGAAAGAUUUUCAUAACACUUUUUUGUUAUUUCAAUUAAUAACACAAUGACAUAUAAAGUAAUUUUUGUACAUAUCAUUAUAUUAUUAGUUAGGUAUAGUCAAACAGUAUUAUUAUUCACAUUACAAAUAAAUUUUUCUGCAUUCAAGGCCCCAAAUCAUUCAAUCGUGGCUCAAAUGUUCUAUCUGUUGCUUUCAUUGGCCCCCCUCUCCUUCCUUCCCUUCUUUGGCUAGCAGGUGGCUCUUUAUAAAUAAAUAUACAAUUUACUCAGUUUCUAUGUAAAUAAAUUAACAAGGAGAUUACUAUUUAUUAUUAAUCAAUCAGUUGCCCCAAAAUCCAAAAACCAGCGAGAGUAUAGUCUCCAGUCUCCAGUCUCCAGUCUCCACUCCCUUAUUAUUUCCCCUUUCCUUACUUAAAAGAAACAAUCAAACAAUCACCAAUACAACACCACUCUCUCUCUCUCUCUCUCUCUCUCUCUCUCUCUCAGCCCUCAACUCAGCUCUCUGAGGACUCCUCAACUUCCUCCGCUUGAUAAUUAUGGCGUUUUCGUAAAUGCAAUGGCGGCCACUUCUAGAGGGUUCGCUUCUCACCUCGAUUUCAAGCUCCGCCGCCUGGCUUUCCAUCCGCGCCCUCACUCUAGUACCAGCAAUGGCGGCUUAGAGGAGCUGAGGAAGCGGAGGAGGUUCAGCCUUCGGGGGAACCGACGCGGAGUCAGUCGAAUCAGUUGCUGCUGCUCAGACUCGGUUGUUCCGAUUCGCUCCGGAAAGAACGCCGAGAAGGCGGAAGAGCGGCGGUUCGAUUCGAAGAAAAGGCCUCCUAGAGCUGGAGUGCAAGCCUCUGCUGCAUUGCCCUUCUUUGCUUCGUCGUCCUCGUCUUCUUCUUCUGCUGCUCAAUCUCAUUUUUUGUCCAGACAAGAGAAAAAUUACCCCCGCUGUACCCCUAGAAACUCUGGUCCACAAUCUCGUGACACUCCACCCAAACGAGAUACUGGUAUUGCCAAUGAGAAGGACUGGGGCAUCAGCUUGUUAACCGAAAAUGUAAACGAGUCUGGGACUAAUGAAGAUGGCAGUACAUGGUAUCGAGAAAGUGGGGAGGACAUUGGCGACAACGGAUACAGAUGUAGGUGGACAAGGAUGGGCGGUACCUCCCAUGAUGCUUCUUCACAAUGGAAAGAAACGUGGUGGGAGAAAAGUGACUGGACCGGAUACAAAGAGCUAGGUGUGGAGAAAUCUGGUAGAAAUGCUCAAGGCGAUUCAUGGUGGGAAACUUGGCAAGAAGUUCUUCAUCAAGAUGAAUGGAGUAACCUAGCAAGGAUUGAGAGAAGUGCACAGAAACAAGCAAAAUCAGGCACUGAGAAUGCUGGAUGGUAUGAGAAAUGGUGGGAGAAAUAUGACGCUAAAGGCUGGACUGAGAAAGGAGCACACAAAUAUGGUAGACUCAAUGAGCAGUCGUGGUGGGAGAAGUGGGGAGAGCAUUAUGACGGAAGGGGAUCUGUUCUCAAAUGGACUGAUAAAUGGGCUGAGACUGAACUUGGAACCAAAUGGGGAGACAAGUGGGAAGAGAAGUUCUUUUCUGGAAUAGGUUCGCGACAAGGGGAGACAUGGCACGUAUCUCCUAGUGGUGAACGUAUGUGCAAGCAAAUUGAACUAUGAUUAACCCACAAAGUUUAUCUGCCUUUCUUUUGUUUCCUUCUAUAACCAUUACAUCAUGCAGCAUUCUUAUAGUAUCCAUAUUGUUUUUCUCCUUAAGGUUUUCUAGCAUAUCGCAAUUUAUAAUACAAAUUUUCUCACUACAUUAUCUAUUUAAGUGCACGUCACGCGUACAGUGUGCUUUCAAAGGUAUAUGGCAACAAAACCUGAGAAAUGCUGGAAAUAUUAUAUUAUGGAAUAAAUUUUUGCCUCAUUCUUCAAGCCCCAUUUACAGUCUUGAUGGAAGACAUGAUGUAUUAUAUUUUGGGUGAAGGAUUAUUCCAUGAUCACUGCGCAUAAGCACACAUCACCCUUGCUGAAACCUCCAGUAAUGAGCUGGUACCUAUAUAUUUUCAGCCACAGGUCAUGGGUUACAUGUUUAUAUAAGCAAGCCCGGCCACCUAUUUUGUCCCUGGAGAGCUACAAGAAUGUUCCAUUUAUGAUACUUCGUAUCAGACAUAAUGUUAGCCUCCUAUUAUUUUUUGCUUUUUGUGAGUGUUUAUGCACUGUAGCACUCCUGAUUUGCAGGGUACAAUCAUUAGCACAAAUGUAACAGGCCUGAUUUAUUGUUCCUCUCUUUCAAGAUGUUAAAGGAAUAUCUAUGUUACUGCUUUUCUCAGUUGUCUAUUCCCUAAAAUUAGAAAAUGUCUUGAAUCCCUUCCAAUUAUUCAGAUCUUCAUGUUCAUUUGUUUUUUCAUUUAUGAAGUUUGAUGAAACUCUGUUUUCUGUUCUCUCAU